GGAUGAGAGGGCGAUCUGGCUGCGACAUCUGUCACCCCACUGAUUGCCAGGGUGGAUUUGGCUGAUCUGGGUGUCCCCUUCCUCACUGCUCCAUGCACAUCCCUCCUGAAGCUGUGCGCUAGGUCCCCCCAGAGAGGAGGACUGAGGAGGACAGAGGAGGACCAUUUGGUCAAGGGAAUACGAGUAACGGUGCUCCCUGCUAGAACCUCCAAACAAGCUUUCAAGGAUAUAGCAGUUUUUUUGUUUUAAUCAGAUUAAGGAAGCUCCCUUCUAUUCAUCAUU
rnacentral:snRNA from 1 species